CCUACGGGAGGCAGCAGUGAGGAAUAUUGGUCAAUGGGCGGGAGCCUGAACCAGCCAAGUCGCGUGAGGGAUGACGGCCCUAUGGGUUGUAAACCUCUUUUGCCGGGGAGCAAAGUGCCGCACGUGUGCGGUUUGGAGAGUACCCGGAGAAAAAGCAUCGGCUAACUACGGGCCAGCAGCCGCGGUAAUACGUAGGUGGCAAGCGUUGUCCGGAUUUACUGGGUGUAAAGGGCGUGCAGCCGGAGAGACAAGUCAGAUGUGAAAUCCACGGGCUCAACCCGUGAACUGCAUUUGAAACUGUUUCCCUUGAGUGUCGGAGCGGUAAUCGGAAUUCCUAGUGUAGCGGUGAAAUGCGUAGAUAUUAGGAAGAACACCAGUGGCGAAGGCGGAUUACUGGACGAUAACUGACGGUGAGGCGCGAAAGCGUGGGGAGCAAACAGGAUUAGAUACCCGAGUAGUC
rnacentral:rRNA from 1 species